ACACUUCCUGAGUUGGAGAGCUUGCACAUGGUUUGAAAGGUUGUGUACAACUUUAUGAACUCUUAAGAAGUGCACUGAAAAUGAUUGAUAUUUCUUCUUUUGUUAAUCUAAUUUGAAGAUUGUGUUAUUAUUCAGCGACGUUAAAA